AUCAAUUUUAGAAUUUAAGAACCCUAUACACUAUAUAACUAAACAACAGAAAUGUUUUUUGGAGUAAUGCACAUUUAUGUUAAAACGUGUAAAACAGAUUGUUACUCUUUAGUCAAGAACAUUACAGUAAGGGUUGAAAAUAAAAAAAAAGUCUAAUAUUUCAACUCAAGGGAAAAUCGAAAAAUCCUAAACAAUUGUACUUUAUAGAAAGACUGGACAGUCAAUAAGACAGUUAAGAAUGACAGGUAGAGUGUACACACCUGAGAACAGGUGAGAAUGACAGGUAGAGUGUAUAAAGGACAAGUGAGACUGACAGGUAGAGUAUAUAUAGGACAGGUGAGACUGACAGGUAGAGUGUAUAUAGGACAGGUGAGACUGACAGGUAGAGUGUAUAUAGGACAGGUGAGACUGACAGGUAGAGUGUAUAAAGGACAGGUGAGACUGACAGGUAGAGUGUACAGUCUAUAUGACAGGUGAGACUGACAGGUAGAGUGUAUAUAGGACAGGUGAGACUGACAGGUAGAGUGUACAGUCUAUAUGACAGGUGAGACUGACAGGUAGAGUGUAUAUAGGACAGGUGAGACUGACAGAUAGAGUGUAUAUAGGACAGGUGAGACUGACAGGUAGAGUGUAUAUAGGACAGGUGAGACUGACAGGUAGAGUGUAUAUAGGACAGGUGAGACUGACAGGUAGAGUGUAUAUAGGACAGGUGAGACUGACAGGUAGAGUGUAUAUAGGACAGGUGAGACUGACAGGUAGAGUGUAUAUAGGACAGGUGAGACUGACAGGUAG